AUUGAACGCUGGCGGCAGGCCUAACACAUGCAAGUCGAGCGGAUGAAGGGAGCUUGCUCCUGGAUUCAGCGGCGGACGGGUGAGUAAUGCCUAGGAAUCUGCCUGGUAGUGGGGGAUAACGUCCGGAAACGGGCGCUAAUACCGCAUACGUCCUGAGGGAGAAAGUGGGGGAUCUUCGGACCUCACGCUAUCAGAUGAGCCUAGGUCGGAUUAGCUAGUUGGUGGGGUAAAGGCCUACCAAGGCGACGAUCCGUAACUGGUCUGAGAGGAUGAUCAGUCACACUGGAACUGAGACACGCUCCAGACUCCUACGGGAGGCAGCAGUCGGGAAUAUUGGACAAUGGGCGGAAGCCUGAUCCAGCCAUGCCGCGUGUGUGAAAAAGGUCUUCGGAUUGUAAAGCACUUUAAGUUGGGAGAAAGGGCAGUAAGUUAAUACCUUGCUGUUUUGACGUUACCAACAGAAUAAGCACCGGCUAACUUCGUG
rnacentral:rRNA from 1 species